rnacentral:snRNA from 1 species
GUGCUCACUUCAGCAGCACAUAUACUAAAAUUGGAACAAUAUAGAGAAGAUUAGCAUAGCCCCUGCACAAGAAUAACACACAAAUUGGGGAAGUGUUUCAUUAAAAA